ensembl:lncRNA
AGCACCGGCCCCCUGCAGACCUUUAAACCUGCCUGGAUGCUUCAGCACACACACAGAGUGAGUCCGCCAGAUCAGAGGCAGUAGAGAUGUCCCUCAAGAAGGACAUGAAAGAAAGUCCCCACCACACCAAUCACAUGCAAAUGACAACAACUGGCUGUCGGUGGUUGUUUCAGGCUGAGGUGUAGCAUCAUCAUCCUGGAUGGCAGACAGGGGAAGAUGGGAUGCCCUGCCUUCCUGCCCUGCCUCCACGCCACCAGCUGCCUGGGUCAGGUCUGUAGAGAGAGGGGCAGGGCAGUCCCAGCCAGGCUUACAGUACCUGGCUCUGGUUCUGGCAAAUAAGCUGAUUAGCAGUGAAGAACCACUAUCACCUCCUGGGACACAUUGUAG